AUGUACUUCUGUGGAAAAGGAGAUGAUAAAACCAUUACAUUUUCUAAUGGUACAUUCUUAGCAGUGAGAGGUAAACCCCAGUUUAACAUAUCAGUGCUCCAAACUCCAGCAUGGGGGUCAGUUUCUCCAGGAGAGUCGGUCACUCUGCAGUGCACGGUCGUCUCUGAGAUCAGAGCAGCAGAUCUCCGAGUGCUCUGGUUCAGAGCUGCUGCUGGACAAUCCUUUCCUGAAAUCAUUUACGCUCAUCAGAACAGCAGCAGCCAUCAGUGUGAGAUCAGCUCUUCUACACACAGCUCUGUGUACAACUUCUCCAAGAACAACUUCAGCCACUCUGAUGCUGGAACUUACUUCUGCGCUGUGGCUGCUUGUGGGAAGAUCAUUGUUGGUAAUGGAGCAUCAAUACAGUUGGAGGGUCCUGUGGAUCCCACUGUGUUCUAUCUGGGAGCAGCUUUGGGAAUCUGUGUGAUUGUAAUCUGCAUUCAGGCCAUUCAGAAUUGCAGUGCAUAA